rnacentral:rRNA from 1 species
AGGCUUAACACAUGCAAGUCGAGGGGCAGCAUGGUCUUAGCUUGCUAAGGCCGAUGGCGACCGGCGCACGGGUGAGUAACACGUAUCCAACCUGCCGUCUACUCUUGGACAGCCUUCUGAAAGGAAGAUUAAUACAAGAUGGCAUCAUGAGUCCGCAUGUUCACAUGAUUAAAGGUAUUCCGGUAGACGAUGGGGAUGCGUUCCAUUAGAUAGUAGGCGGGGUAACGGCCCACCUAGUCUUCGAUGGAUAGGGGUUCUGAGAGGAAGAUCCCCCACAUUGGAACUGAGACACGGUCCAAACUCCUACGGGAGGCAGCAGUGAGGAAUAUUGGUCAAUGGGCGAGAGCCUGAACCAGCCAAGUAGCGUGAAGGAUGACUGCCCUAUGGGCUGUAAACUUCUUUUAUAAAGGAAUAAAGUCGGGUAUGGAUACCCGUUUGCAUGUACUUUAUGAAUAAGGAUCGGCUAACUCCGUGCCAGCAGCCGCGGUAAUACGGAGGAUCCGAGCGUUAUCCGGAUUUAUUGGGUUUAAAGGGAGCGUAGAUGGAUGUUUAAGUCAGUUGUGAAAGUUUGCGGCUCAACCGUAAAAUUGCAGUUGAUACUGGAUAUCUUGAGUGCAGUUGAGGCAGGCGGAAUUCGUGGUGUAGCGGUGAAAUGCUUAGAUAUCACGAAGAACUCCGAUUGCGAAGGCAGCCUGCUAAGCUGCAACUGACAUUGAGGCUCGAAAGUGUGGGUAUCAAACAGGAUUAGAUACCCUGGUAGUCCACACGGUAAACGAUGAAUACUCGCUGUUUGCGAUAUACGGCAAGCGGCCAAGCGAAAGCGUUAAGUAUUCCACCUGGGGAGUACGCCGGCAACGGUGAAACUCAAAGGAAUUGACGGGGGCCCGCACAAGCGGAGGAGCAUGUGGUUUAAUUCGAUGAUACGCGAGGAACCUUACCCGGGCUUAAAUUGCAGAUGAAUUACGGUGAAAGCCGUAAGCCGCAAGGCAUCUGUGAAGGUGCUGCAUGGUUGUCGUCAGCUCGUGCCGUGAGGUGUCGGCUUAAGUGCCAUAACGAGCGCAACCCUUGUUGUCAGUUACUAACAGGUUCCGCUGAGGACUCUGACAAGACUGCCAUCGUAAGAUGUGAGGAAGGUGGGGAUGACGUCAAAUCAGCACGGCCCUUACGUCCGGGGCUACACACGUGUUACAAUGGGGGGUACAGAGGGCCGCUACCACGCGAGUGGAUGCCAAUCCCAAAAACCUCUCUCAGUUCGGACUGGAGUCUGCAACCCGACUCCACGAAGCUGGAUUCGCUAGUAAUCGCGCAUCAGCCACGGCGCGGUGAAUACGUUCCCGGGCCUUGUACACACCGCCCGUCAAGCCAUGGGAGCCGGGGGUACCUGAAGUGCGUAACCGCGAGGAGCGCCCUAGGGUAAAACUGGUGACUGGGGCUAAGUCAUAA